UGACGACAUACUGUCGUCGCCUUAGUGUCUUUCUUUUCUCUCUUCAACCUUGUCAUAAAUACUUGACCGCAUUGCUUGGACGACUAGCUCUUGGCCCGGUCGCGGCUUGUCGCCAAUUUAUUUGCUGGUAAUUUGCGUUUAAAGAGAUUCGUGGACCGACUCAGCUGAGCAAAUAAUUGAACAAGUAGGCAGCAGAGCAAACUUUCAUCUAUCGAGAGAUCAGCAAAAGAUUGCAGGCCUCUGAUGAAUCUGACAACAAAGAGAGUGGCUAACCAGAAACAUUUUUCAGGAAUCUUAGCGCGUGUAAUUUCCGCAAAUAAAUAGGGAAAAGCAUCAAAAUGUUAUGCCCAAUCGUGCAACAAACGAACAUUGUUUGGAUAAUUUCAACAUAAAACAUUGCCGCAAUUGAAAUUGUAGUAGCGCAUGGUGACAAUUGCCUGAUUCAAAUGCAAAUUGCAACACCCAUGGAGGAGCCACACACGCAGUGAAAUUUGAAGUUCGCAUAUUUUUGGUUUGGGAGUAAAACCGCAAAUUGCUAUUAACGAAAAUCUAAUCAUAACCGGAAAUUAAUUUGACAGGAAUCUCAUUAAAUUUACAACCCAACCGAGCCACUCCACUCGACACAGGAGGACAUCAUGCGGCCACAGCUGCCGACGAGGAGGCAGGAUAGAGAGGGAGCCAGAGAGGGAUGCCAAACCCAAUCCGCAUCCACCGCAUUUCUAUUCAAACCAAAAUCCAAACUCCCCAAUCCCCCCCUCCAUCCGCAAAUCGUUUAAAGCUGCAUUGCGUUGACAUUGCAACAGCCACCUGAGUAUUUGAGUAAUGUACAGGAUUUUCAUUAUAAUAUACAAUUAUUUCAGUUUGCCAGGCCA